CGAAGCAGAUAAUGCCAGGAAGUGAUAUUUCCCGGCCAAAUAUGAAGCAGAUAAUGCCAGGAAGUGAUAUUUCCCGCCCAAAGUCAUCAUAAACCUUAUAGCGUGGUGUCUGAUUAUUGAACCAAAGAUUUAUUUGGAGCUUUCACCACAAUGCAGACAAAGCCAGGAACACAUACUUCCUGGCCAGAUACGAAGCAGAUAAUGCCAGGAAGUGAUAUUUCCCGGCCAAAUAUGAAGCAGAUAAUGCCAGGAAGUGAUAUUUCCCGCCCAAAGUCAUCAUAAACCUUAUAGCGUGGUGUCUGAUUAUUGAACCAAAGAUUUAUUUGGAGCUUUCACCAUGCUCUGAAGCUUUACAGGGCAACUACGAUGGCUUUCACAACCUUUUAACUCUGUGGAUAUCAAGGUCUUAGCUUUUGGGUAGACUUUCUUUCUUCUUCUUUUUUAUGUAUAUAUUAUGUUACGGGAUUAAUGGCAUUAUCAGCAAUAAUGGCUACAGUCUACAAAACAAAUGAUGAUUCGAGGAAAGCUCAAACAAACCAACAUUGAUAUUGAAACAAGCUCUCAAAAAUAUUACGUGAUUGACAAAUUUGAGGCUUUUGGUAAUUCGGUGCUUUAGUUGCGCUGCCAAUUUCAAUAUACAUCCUGUCUGUACUAGUAAACGAAUUUUGAAGGUUACCUCAAUUUGUACUAGUAAACUGUAUUCCAGUCUGAACUCUGAACCAUCUGCAGGCUUCUUGUAUGACAUUCUUGUAAACC
rnacentral:lncRNA from 1 species